GUGCUUGCUUCAGCAGCACAUAUACUAAAAUUGGAAUGAUACAGAGAAGAUUAGCAUAGCCGCUGCACAAGGAUGACACACAAAUUUGUGAAGUGUUCCAUAUUUUU
rnacentral:snRNA from 1 species